rnacentral:rRNA from 1 species
AACGAACGCUGGCGGCAGGCCUAACACAUGCAAGUCGAACGCCGUAGCAAUACGGAGUGGCAGACGGGUGAGUAACGCGUGGGAACAUACCCCUCGGUUCGGAAUAACUCAGGGAAACUUGAGCUAAUACCGGAUACGUCCAAGGUUUUAAUCGACCUUGGAGAAAGAUUUAUCGCCGGAGGAUUGGCCCGCGUCUGAUUAGCUUGUUGGUGAGGUAAUGGCUCACCAAGGCGACGAUCAGUAGCUGGUCUGAGAGGAUGAUCAGCCACAUUGGGACUGAGACACGGCCCAAACUCCUACGGGAGGGCAGCAGUGGGGGAAUAUUGGACAAUGGGCGAAAGCCUGAUCCAGCCAUGCCGCGUGAGUGAUGAAGGCCUUAGGGUUGUAAAGCUCUUUUACCCGGGAAGAUAAUGACGGUACCGGGAGAAUAAGCCCCGG